GACGAACGCUGGCGGCGUGCCUAAUACAUGCAAGUCGAACGCAGUGGGGACGGGUGAGUAACACGUGGGUAACCUCCCAUCAGAGGGGGUAACACUUGGAAACAGGUGCUAAACCGAUACUGAUGGAUGGACCCGCGGUGCAUUAGCUAGUUGGUGAGGUAACGGGCCACCAAGGCCACGAUGCAUAGCCGGCCGUGGAGGGUGAUCGGGUCCACUGGGAAUGGGACCAGGCCCAGACUCCUACGGGAGGCAGCAGUAGGGAAUCUUCGGAAAUGGACGGAAGUCUUACCGAGCAACGGCGCGGGAUUGAAGAAGGGUUUCGGAACGUAAAGCUCUGUUGUGAGAGAAGCGGUAACUAACCAGAAAGGGACGGCUAACUACGUGCCAGCAGCCGCGGUAAUAC
rnacentral:rRNA from 1 species